GGUCUGGUAGUCUGGUUGGUAGAACGAUCGUCUAGAAAGCGAAAGGCCUCGGGUUCGAUCCCCGGCCCAACAA
rnacentral:tRNA from 1 species